rnacentral:rRNA from 1 species
UACGGAGGGGCUAGCGUUGUUCGGAAUUACUGGCGUAAAGGGCGCGUAGGCGGCCUUCUAAGUCGAACGUGAAAUCCCCGGGCUCAACCCGGGAACUGCGUCCGAUACUGGAAGGCUUGAAUCCGGGAGAGGGAUGUGGAAUUCCAGGUGUAGCGGUGAAAUGCGUAGAUAUCUGGAGGAACACCGGUGGCGAAGGCGGCUAACCUGGCCAUGUACUGACGCUGAGACACGAAAGCGUGGGGAGCAAACAGGAUAGAUACC